GUUGUUCUGAAUCUAUCUUGGA
rnacentral:miRNA from 1 species